GGCAGGACGUACCCACGGGCACUCGUUCCCCCCCGAAGUCCAACGUUAGGUAAAUUCCUCCCUCCAGUUGUGACUGUCCUUCUCAGAUCUGCACACAACAGAGAAGCCGGGAGGGCAGAGGGUAUAGUCAAAGAGUCUCGAAUGUACAGAGGUAUCCCCAGGCUUGCUGGAGGUGGACGAGGUUAACAAGAAGCUGUGCCCUUCCUUCCGGCACUUCUUUGUACUUGUCAUGUCAAAUAAUAAAUUGGGAAGAGAGAAAGAGAGGAGACAAGGACAAAAACAAACAAAAAAGUGUACCCUCUUCUAGUUUCCUGUCAACACUGUGGUGGUUUGAGUAAGAAUGACCCCAAUAGUCUCACAGAUUUGAAUGCUUGGUCACCGGAAGAGGCACUAUUUGGAAGACUCACAAGGUGUGGCCUUGUUGGAGGAAGUGUGUCUCGGAGGGUGGGCUUUGAGAUUUUCAAAAGCUCAAGUCAAGCCCAGUCGGUGGCUCUCUCGUCCUGCUGCCUGCAGAUCCAGAUGUAGAAUUCUCAGCUCCUUCUCGAGCACCAUGUCUGCCUGUGUGCUGCCAUGUGCCCUGCCAUGAUUAAAAUGGACUGAACCUCUGAAACUGUAAA